rnacentral:rRNA from 1 species
UACGGGGGGGGGGCAAGCGUUGUUCGGAAUUACUGGGCGUAAAGGGCUCGUAGGUGGCCAACUAAGUCAGACGUGAAAUCCCUCGGCUUAACCGGGGAACUGCGUCUGAUACUGGAUGGCUUGAGAUUGGGAGAGGGAUGCGGAAUUCCAGGUGUAGCGGUGAAAUGCGUAGAUAUCUGGAGGAACACCGGUGGCGAAGGCGGCAUCCUGGACCGGCACUGACACUGAGGAGCGAAAGCCAGGGGAGCAAACGGG